rnacentral:lncRNA from 1 species
UUGAGGAUUAAUUAGGAGUCACCAAAAUGCUUCACUGAAUAAUAAUCGAGGAAAAAAUUCGAAUUUAUUAUGUCCGUGUUUCAGGUAUUAAAGUACAAGGAGAUGUUAGGGUUAUUAGAUAGUGCAUUGAUCCUUAAGAAGACCAAGUUUAGAAUAUGCAUUGGACAUACAGUUUGGAGCAUGCAGGUUUUUGAGCUUAGUUUCUUAGGCACCUGAUAUUCUUGAAGUGGUGGUUGGGGCAGUCUAAGAAUCACCAAACAAGACCAAUGAUAUAUAUGUAAAGGGCGUUUUCAGUUCAAUUCAAUGCGAAUGAUCAUGAUCAAUGGGUGGGUUGUUGGAUUACCUUGACUAGGUGAAUGUUACUUUUGUAAAUGAGGAAAGCAAUGAUGUACUUUUCGGUGUCAAAAAGAGCUUCCGACUGAAGCAUAGAAUGUAUUUUUGGAGGAAACUAUAAGUCUAUCUUAUGUGUGCGAAAUGAUUAUGUAUCUCAUUUGAUCUGAAACUGUCAUUAAAUACAAGCAGUCAAGUCAUGGUUAGUUUCUUAUUUGCAGCACCUAGUGUAUCUGAGACUUAAAAAAGAAAAGAUGUUGUAAGGUGUAACUUGUGUGGUGGAUUUUUAAGAGGAUCAUGUUCUCAUCACAGUUAGGAUAGGUUGAUUGCUUCUUGUUAGGAUACAAAAGGACAUGAGAGAAAAGUAAUCUGAUCUUUCUAGGCAUCCUCUAUGAUUUUUAUUCUGUUUAGUUUGAAAAUAAAUAGCCAAUUAAUCAAAUCACUUAACAGGAGAAAGAAAGAUGAAGAACUAAGACUUUGGCAACAGAAAAAGAAAAAAGAUAAAGAACUAAAGAGAUGGCUGGCAGGGCUAAUCUUAGAAUUCCUGCAGUCUGUAAGGUCCGAUUCGCAGUAAAACAUAUUACAUAUUAUAUGGCAUAGUCAUCUUUAAGCUUUAUUCCAUGGUUCCUUCAAGGCCAAGCAUGAUCCAGAAUGCUCAAAAAUUCUUUUUU